AUUGAACGCUGGCGGCAUGCUUUACACAUGCAAGUCGAACGGUAACAGGCCUUCGGGUGCUGACGAGUGGCGAACGGGUGAGUAAUGCAUCGGAACGUACCCAGAGGUGGGGGAUAACGCAGCGAAAGCUGUGCUAAUACCGCAUGUGAUCUGAGGAUGAAAGCGGGGGACCGAGCAGCAAUGUUUGGCCUCGCGCCUUUGGAGCGGCCGAUGUCGGAUUAGCUAGUUGGUGGGGUAAAGGCCUACCAAGGCGACGAUCCGUAGCUGGUCUGAGAGGACGACCAGCCACACUGGGACUGAGACACGGCCCAGACUCCUACGGGAGGCAGCAGUGGGGAAUUUUGGACAAUGGGCGCAAGCCCGAUCCAGCAAUGCCGCGUGCGGGAAGAAGGCCUUCGGGUUGUAAACCGCUUUUGGCAGGAACGAAACGGUGUCCGCUAAUACCGGGCGCUAAUGACGGUACCUGCAGAAUAAGCACCGGCUAACUACGUG
rnacentral:rRNA from 1 species